UACGUAGGGUGCAAGCGUUAAUCGGAAUUACUGGGCGUAAAGCGUGCGCAGGCGGUUUUGUAAGUCUGUCGUGAAAGCCCCGGGCUCAACCUGGGAAUUGCGAUGGAGACUGCAAGGCUUGAAUCUGGCAGAGGGGGGUAGAAUUCCACGUGUAGCAGUGAAAUGCGUAGAGAUCCGGAGGAACACCGACGGCGUAGGCAGCGCCCUGGACGACACCUGACGCUGAGGCACGAAAGC
rnacentral:rRNA from 1 species